rfam:Haemonchus placei strain MHpl1 genome assembly, scaffold: HPLM_scaffold0004489
GAUACAAACUUGAAGUAGCAUAGAUUAAUAUGGUCAGGUGAUCCUUAUAAUCUACUCUACUUCGAAUUUGUGCCC